rnacentral:rRNA from 1 species
UUGCCUCUUGGACUGGGACAACUGUUGGAAACGACAGCUAAUACCGGAUAUUAUGAGAUUCUCGCAUGAGAAACUUAUGAAAGCUAUAUGCGCCAAGAGAGAGCCUUGCGUUCCAUUAGCUAGUUGGUGGGGUAACGGCCCACCAAGGCGACGAUGGAUAGCCGGCCUGAGAGGGUGAACGGCCACAGGGGACUGAGACACGGCCCUUACUCCUACGGGAGGCAGCAGUGGGGAAUAUUGGACAAUGGGCCACAAGCCUGAUCCAGCAAUUCUGUGUGCACGAUGAAGGUCUUCGGAUUGUAAAGUGCUUUCAGUUGGGAAGAAGAAAGUGACGGUACCAACAGAAGAAGCGACGGCUAAAUACGUGCCAGCAGCCGCGGUAAUACGUAUGUCGCAAGCGUUAUCCGGAUUUAUUGGGCGUAAAGCGCGUCUAGGCGGAAAAAUAAGUCUGAUGUUAAAAUGCGGGGCUCAACUCCGUAUUGCGUUGGAAACUGUUUUUCUAGAGUACUGGAGAGGUGGGCGGAACUACAAGUGUAGAGGUGAAAUUCGUAGAUAUUUGUAGGAAUGCCGAUGGAGAAGUCAGCUCACUGGACAGAUACUGACGCUGAAGCGCGAAAGCAUG